UAAUACCCCAUAUCGCUAUUAAGUGAAAGAUUUAUCGCCUGAGUACGAGCUUGCAUCUGAUUAGCUAGUUGGUAAGGUAAAGGCUUACCAAGGCAACGAUCAGUAGCUGGUUUGAGAAGAUGAUCAGCCACACUGGGACUGAGACACGGAACAGACUCCUACGGGAGGCAGCAGUGAGGAAUUUUCCGCAAUGAGUGAAAGCUUGACGGAGCAAUGCCGCGUGGAGGAAGAAGGCCUUAGGGUUGUAAUCUCCUUUUCUCAUAGAAGAAUUUAUGACGGUAUUUGAGGAAUAAGCAUCGGCUAAUUUCGUGCCAGCAGCCGCGGUAAUACGAGAGAUGCAAGCGUUAUCCGGAAUUAUUGGGCGUAAAGAGUUUGUAGGUGGUUCAAUGUGUUUAAUGUUAAAGAUCCGAGCUCAACUUUGAAAUGGCAUUAAAAACUAUUGUACUUGGGUAUGAUAGAGGUAAAGGGAAUUCCCAGUGUAGCGGUGAAAUGCGUAGAUAUUGGGAAGAACACCAACGGCGAAAGCACUUUACUAGGUUAAUACUGACACUGAGAAACGAAAGCUAAGGUAGCAAACUGGAUUAGAUACCCAGGUAGUCUUAGCUGUAAACAAUGGAUACUAAGUGGUGCUUUUUAUUUGUGCUGCUGUAGUUAACACGUUAAGUAUCCCGCCUGGGGAGUACGCUUGCAAAAGUGAAACUCAAAGGAAUUGACGGGGGCCCGCACAAGCGGUGGAGCAUGCGGUUUAAUUCGAUGCAACACGAAGAACCUUACCAGGAUUUGACAUGUCAGGAAGUUUUUGAAAGAAAAUUUGCCUUUGGGAGCCUGAACACAGAUGGUGCAUGGCUGUCGUCAGCUCGUGUCGUGAGAUGUUGGGUUAAGUCCCGCAACGAGCGCAACCCUCGUUUUUAGUUGUUUUUUAAAAUCUAAAAAGACUGCUGGUUAUAAACCGGAGGAAGGUGGGGAUGAGGUCAAGUCAUCAUGCCUCUUAUAUCCUGGGCUACACGCGUGCUACAAUGGUUAAGACAAAGAGUUGCGAUUUUGUGAAAAUGAGCUAAUCUCAUAAACUUAGCCUUAGUUCGGAUUGUAAGCUGCAACUCGCUUACAUGAAGCUGGAAUCGCUAGUAAUCGCCGGUCAUCUAUACGGCGGUGAAUCCGUUCCCGGGCCUUGUA
rnacentral:rRNA from 1 species